CUUAUCAUUUAGAGGAAGGAGAAGUCGUAACAAGGUUUCCGUAGGUGAACCUGCGGAAGGAUCAUUGUCGAAACCUGCCUAGCAGAACGACCCGAGAACAUGUUUCAACUCUCGGGGGCGGGGGGUCUCGCGGCUCCUCGCCCCUUGUCCGGGGAGACGGACGUUUGGUGCGCUCCGGCGCUUCCGUUCGGCCGACUUUCUGGACGUAACCGAACACCGGCGUGAAUUGCGCCAAGGAACUUGAAUGAAAGAGCGUUCCCCCGUCGUCCCGGAGACGGUGACUGCGCGGGUGGUUCGUCGUCUUCAGUAUGUCUAAACGACUCUCGGCAACGGAUAUCUCGGCUCUCGCAUCGAUGAAGAACGUAGCGAAAUGCGAUACUUGGUGUGAAUUGCAGAAUCCCGUGAACCAUCGAGUCUUUGAACGCAAGUUGCGCCCGAAGCCAUUAGGCCGAGGGCACGUCUGCCUGGGCGUCACACGUCGUUGCCCCCCCAACCCCUUCGGGGACUUGGACGGGACGGAUGAUGGCCUUCCCGUGUGCCCCGUCACGCGGUUGGCUCAAAUGCCGAGUCCUCGGCGACAGACGCCGCGACAAUCGGUGGUUGUCAAACCUCGGUGUCCUGUCGCGCGCGCGAGUCGUUUGCGGGAUCUCUUGAACCAUGCGCGUCGGUUACUCGAUGCUUUCAACGCGACCCCAGGUCAGGCGGGGUUACCCGCUGAAUUUAAGCAUAUCAAUAAGGCG
rnacentral:rRNA from 1 species